GGAAGUAAAAGUCGUAACAAAGUUUCCGUAGGUGAACCUGCGGAAGGAUCAUUAAUGAGUUGUCAUGGGGUUCGAUGCCGGCAGCCAAUUUUUGGAUGCAUGUGCUUGCCCUAACAAUCAUCUUCCAAACACCUGUGCACAUUUUUGUGGGAGUCUUGAGUUGGUUGCCGCUCUUGGGUGAUUUUCUCACAUUCCCUUAAAUCAUUAUACGCUAUUAACAAUGUUGAACGUGCUCUGCGCCGCAAGGCUAUUAGUAUAAUACAACUUUUAACAACGGAUCUCUUGGCUCUC
rnacentral:misc_RNA from 1 species